AUGUUGAUUGUACCGAACGAAGGAUUUGCCUUAUCACGAAAGCCACAUUCGUUUCGUUUGAGGAAGUCACACGUCCUGUUCCCUAUAAAUAAGGAGAUUCAUUCUUUUUUUUCAAAAAUCCCCUCUUCUUCCUCCUCAAGCCCCUAUCACAAGACCAAGCGGAUCUCAUCCUGCAGAAGACUCAGAGCGGAUCUAUCUAAUGGCAUGGCUGGCUGUCGGAUGUGA
rnacentral:rRNA from 1 species